GGCCCCGAGGGCCUGCACAGCGCCCCCGGACCGGCGGCCCUUUCCUUUACCCACCGCCUCCUCUUGCAGGCCUCGCCGCCUUUGUCUGCUUUCCAGAGCCGCCGAGCUGAUUUGGCAUCGGGGAACGCGGGCCCCCGGCGCGACCGGUGUGUCCCGGCUUCGAGGGGCACGGCAGCCGCGAGUUGGCAAGGUCACGGAGGCUUCGGGGAGCCGUGUGGCCGCUCCUGAGCACCCACAGCUGGCCCUCGGCCCCUGGCAAGAAGUUCAAGUGGGCCGAUGGGGUCCGGUGUCCAUCGGUGCGAAACAGCAGCGCACUUUGUGCGAUCCCUGCGAUCCCGAAUGUGUGAUUACCCUCUGUUAAAAGGAUAAAAAGGCAGCCUGACAGGUGUGGGAUUUUUCAGACUUGAAUACAGCAGAGAUACACCAGCAGACAAGAGCCACUACACUUGUUUGCACCGGUUCAGUCUCAGCAAAGAUAAAAGUCCCAAUGUCACAGCUCUUCCCCAGGUUGCUUGUUGGCAUGUCCAGGAGACAUGGAUGUGCUACGCACAUUGGCUGUGCCCUGUGCAUAGUCAAGUGCUCUGAAAGAAACCUUGUCCUGCCUGGCUCAGGAAAUACGGACACAGAAUCAUGAGGAGCAAGCAGGACAUCGGGGUGUGUGGAGAGAAAAGAGGGUUGACCAACAUGGCUG